GGUGGACGGACCACUGGUGUAUCUGUUGAGUACCAAGCUCAUGGCAGAGUAGCCAAGUCCGGCCGGGAUAAACGCGGAAGGCAUCUAAGCGUGAAGCCCCCCUCAAGAUGAGAUAUCCCAUGGUAAACAUGUAAGACCCCUUGAAGACGACAAGGUAGAUAGGGCCAAGGUGUAAGUGCAGUAAUGUAUUCAGCUGAUGGUCACUAAUAGGUCGAGGGCUUAUCCAA
rnacentral:rRNA from 1 species